AGCAGCCGCGGUAAUUCCAGCUCCAAUAGCGUAUAUUAAAGUUGUUGCAGUUAAAAAGCUCGUAGUUGAAUUUCGGGAUCAAGGAAUCGGUCAUGCCUCGGUAUGUACUGGUUUUAUUGGUUCUCACCUUCUAAAGAACCAUAAUGUCAUUCAUUUGGUGUUAUGGGGAAUUAGGACUGUUACCUUGAAAAAAUUAGAGUGUUUAAAGCAAGCUUACGCUUGAAUACAUUAGCAUGGAAUAAUGAAAUAGGACAUCCGAUUCUAUUUUGUUGGUUUCUAGGAUCGAUGUAAUGAUUAAUAGGGAUAGUUGGGGGCAUUAGUAUUCAAUUGUCAGAGGUGAAAUUCUUGGAUUUAUUGAAGACUAACUACUGCGAAAGCAUUUGCCAAGGAUGUUUUCAUUAAUCAAGAACGAAAGUUAGGGGAUCGAAGACGAUCAGAUACCGUCGUAGUCUUAACCAUAAACUAUGCCGACUAGGGAUCGGAUGAUGUUUAUUUUUUAGUGACUCAUUCGGCACCUUACG
rnacentral:rRNA from 1 species